GUGAGGAAUAUUGGUCAAUGGACGAGAGUCUGAACCAGCCAAGUCGCGUGAAGGAAGACGGUUCUAUGAAUUGUAAACUUCUUUUGUGCAGGAAUAAAGUGGGUUACGUGUAACCUUUUGUAUGUACUGUACGAAUAAGGAUCGGCUAACUCCGUGCCAGCAGCCGCGGUAAUAAGGAGGAUCCGAGCGUUAUCCGGAUUUAUUGGGUUUAAAGGGUGCGUAGGUGGAUUGAUAAGUCAGCGGUGACAGUUUGCGGCUUAACUGUAAAAUUGCCGUGGAAACUGUCGGGCUUGAGUGCAAAGGAGGUAUGCGGAAUGUGUUGUGUAGCGGUGAAAUGCUUAGAUAUAACACAGAACUCCGAUUGCGAAGGCAGCUUACUGGGAUGCAACUGACACUGAUGCACGAAAGCGUGGGUAUCAAACAGGAUUAGAAACCCCAGUAGUCC
rnacentral:rRNA from 1 species